rnacentral:rRNA from 1 species
GACGAACCGUCCAAACGUUAUUCGGAUUCACUGGGCUUAAAGGGUGCGUAGGCGGCUCAGAAAGUAGGGUGUGAAAGCCCUCGGCUCAACCGAGGAAUUGCGCCCUAAACUACUGGGCUUGAGGAACGCAGAGGUAAGCGGAACUUACGGUGGAGCGGUGAAAUGCGUUGAUAUCGUAAGGAACACCAGGAGCGAAAGCGGCUUACUGGGCGUUUUCUGACGCUGAUGGCACGAAAGCUAGGGGAGCGAA